GCGUAGGAUAGACCGGGGAGGUAGGCGUUCCCUGUAACCAGAAAUCGCCGAUAUGCUGGGGUCGAAACCAAGAGGCGAUGUAACGAGCAUUUGUUGAUCCAUGUGUUGACGAUGAAACCUCGUCCUUUGGGAUCAGAGGUGAUGAUUGUGUAUGGCCGGAGGGCUAUACGCGCAUCUUAGUUGCGGGGACCGGGUGAGGCACGGAAGUGAGCAGCCUUACCGCAAACUGCUGGUGCUCAUUGGGUUAGCGGGGUCAAGGAUGCAUGUGGGUAGUCAAUAGAUGAAACGUGCAGCCACUCUUUGGUGUUCCUGCGC
rnacentral:SRP_RNA from 1 species